AGGUUAAGUUAACAAGGGCGCAUGGUGAAUGCCUUGGCACUAGGAGCCGAUGAAGGACGGGACUAACACCGAUAUGCUUCGGGGAGCUGUACGUAAGCUAUGAUCCGGAGAUUUCCGAAUGGGGCAACCCAGCAGUUUUAAUCAACUGUUACCACUAGAUGAAUUCAUAGUCUAGUUGGAGGUAAACGCUGUGAACUGAAACAUCUCAUUAGCAGCAGGAAUAUAAAGAAAUUUCGAUUCCCUAAGUAGCGGCGAGCGAACGGGGAACAGCCCAAACCAAAGUGCUUGCACUUUGGGGUUGUAGGACUGAACAUUUGAGUUACCAAAGAACUUGAUAGUCGAAGGAUUUGGGAAAAUCCGCCAUAGAUGGUGAUAGCCCAGUAGAUUAAAUCAAAUUCUCUCAGUUCAGGAUCCUGAGUACGGCGGAACACGUGAAAUUCCGUCGGAAUCCGGGAGGACCAUCUCCCAAGGCUAAAUACUACCUAGUGACCGAUAGUGAACCAGUACCGUGAGGGAAAGGUGAAAAGCACCCCGGGAGGGGAGUGAAAUAGUUCCUGAAACCAUGUGCCUACAAUAAGUCAGAGCGCGUUAAUGCGUGAUGGCGUGCCUUUUGUAGAAUGAACCGGCGAGUUAUGAUCCCGUGCAAGGUUAAGACUAAAAAGUCGGAGCCGUAGCGAAAGCGAGUCUGAAAUGGGCGAUUUGAGUACGAGGUUAUAGACCCGAAACCAGGUGACCUAUCCAUGUCCAGGUUGAAGGUGCGGUAAAACGCACUGGAGGACCGAACCCGUGUAAGUUGAAAAUUGCUGGGAUGAGGUGUGGAUAGCGGUGAAAUUCCAAACGAACUUGGAGAUAGCUGGUUCUCUCCGAAAUAGCUUUAGGGCUAGCCUCGGAUUAAGGAUCAUGGAGGUAGAGCACUAUUUGGACUAGGGGCCCGUCUUGGGUUACUGAAUUCAGAUAAACUCCGAAUGCCAUUGAUUCAUGUCCGGGAGUCAGACGAUGAGUGAUAAGAUCCACCGUCGAAAGGGGAACAGCCCAGAUCAUCAGUUAAGGUCCCUAAAUGUAUGCUAAGUGGAAAAGGAUGUGGAGUUGCAUAGACAACUAGGAUGUUGGCUCAGAAGCAGCCACCAUUUAAAGAGUGCGUAAUAGCUCACUAGUCGAGUGAUCCUGCGCCGAAAAUGUACCGGGGCUAAGCAUACUACCGAAACCAUGGAUGCGACCAUUAGGUCGCGUGAUAGGAGAGCGUUCUAAGGGCGGUGAAGCAAGAUCGUGAGGACUUGUGGAGCGCUUAGAAGUGAGAAUGCCGGUAUGAGUAGCGAAAGAUAGGUGAGAAUCCUAUCCACCGAAUGACUAAGGUUUCCUGGGGAAGGCUCGUCCUCCCAGGGUUAGUCGGGACCUAAGUCGAGGCCGAGAGGCGUAGACGAUGGAUAACAGGUUGAGAUUCCUGUACUAGUUAAGUGCGUUUGAGCAAUGGAGGGACGCAGGAGGCUAAGAUGUGCAUUCUGUUGGAUUAGAAUGUCCAAGCAGUAAGUCUUGUGGAGAGUCAAAUGCUUUUCACUUUAAGGACAAGCUGUGAUGGGGAGCGAAAUUUAGUAGCGAAGCGUCUGAUGUCACACUGCCGAGAAAAGCUUCUAGUGAGUACUUAACUACCCGUACCGCAAACCGACACAGGUAGUCGAGGAGAGAAUCCUAAGGUGAGCGAGUGAACUCUCGUUAAGGAACUCGGCAAAAUGACCCCGUAACUUCGGGAGAAGGGGUGCUGAUCGCAAGAUCAGCCGCAGUGAAUAGGCCCAGGCGACUGUUUAUCAAAAACACAGGUCUCUGCAAAAUCGUAAGAUGACGUAUAGGGGCUGACGCCUGCCCGGUGCUGGAAGGUUAAAAGGAUGGGUUAGCUUCGGCGAAGCUCAGAAUUGAAGCCCCAGUAAACGGCGGCCGUAACUAUAACGGUCCUAAGGUAGCGAAAUUCCUUGUCGGGUAAGUUCCGACCCGCACGAAAGGCGUAACGAUCUGGGCACUGUCUCAACGAGAGACUCGGUGAAAUUAUAUUGUCCGUGAAGAUGCGGACUACCCGCGACAGGACGGAAAGACCCCAUGGAGCUUUACUGUAGCUUGAUAUUGAGUGUUUGUACAGCUUGUACAGGAUAGGUAGGAGCCAUAGAAACCGGAACGCUAGUUUCGGUGGAGGCGUUGGUGGGAUACUACCCUCGCUGUAUGACCACUCUAACCCGCACCACUAAUCGUGGUGGGAGACAGUGUCAGGUGGGCAGUUUGACUGGGGCGGUCGCCUCCUAAAAAGUAACGGAGGCGCCCAAAGGUUCCCUCAGAAUGGUUGGAAAUCAUUCGCAGAGUGUAAAGGCACAAGGGAGCUUGACUGCGAGACAGACAGGUCGAGCAGGGACGAAAGUCGGGCUUAGUGAUCCGGUGGUACCGUAUGGAAGGGCCAUCGCUCAACGGAUAAAAGCUACCCUGGGGAUAACAGGCUUAUCUCCCCCAAGAGUCCACAUCGACGGGGAGGUUUGGCACCUCGAUGUCGGCUCAUCGCAUCCUGGGGCUGUAGUCGGUCCCAAGGGUUGGGCUGUUCGCCCAUUAAAGCGGUACGCGAGCUGGGUUCAGAACGUCGUGAGACAGUUCGGUCCCUAUCCGUCGCGGGCGUAGGAAAUUUGAGAGGACCUGUCCUUAGUACGAGAGGACCGGGAUGGACAUACCUCUGGUGUACCAGUUGUGCCGCCAGGCGCAUCGCUGGGUAGCUACGUAUGGAUGUGAUAAACGCUGAAAGCAUCUAAGUGUGAAACACACCUCGAGAUGAGAUUUCCCAUUCCUUUAUGGAAGUAAGACCCCUGAAAGAUGAUCAGGUAGAUAGGUUAGAAGUGGCAGUGCGGUGACGCAUGAAGCGGACUAAUACUAAUCGGUCGAGGACUUAACCAAG
rnacentral:rRNA from 2 species